rnacentral:rRNA from 1 species
CCUAGCGGCGGACGGGUGAGUAACACGUGGGUAACCUGCCUGUAAGACCGGGAUAACUUCGGGAAACCGAAGCUAAUACCGGAUAAUUUCAAGCAUCGCAUGAUGCUUGAUGGAAAGACGGUUUCGGCUGUCGCUUACAGAUGGACCCGCGUCGCAUUAGCUAGUUGGUGAGGUAACGGCUCACCAAGGCGACGAUGCGUAGCCGACCUGAGAGGGUGAUCGGCCACACUGGGACUGAGACACGGCCCAGACUCCUACGGGAGGCAGCAGUAGGGAAUCUUCGGCAAUGGGCGAAAGCCUGACCGAGCAACGCCGCGUGAGCGAUGAAGGCCUUCGGGUCGUAAAGCUCUGUUGUUAAGGAAGAACAAGUACGAGAGUAACUGCUCGUACCUUGACGGUACUUAACGAGAAAGCCACGGCUAACUACGUGCCAGCAGCCGCGGUAAUACGUAGGUGGCGAGCGUUAUCCGGAAUUAUUGGGCGUAAAGCGCGCGCAGGCGGUUUCUUAAGUCUGAUGUGAAAGCCCACGGCUCAACCGUGGAGGGUCAUUGGAAACUGGGAAACUUGAGUGCAGAAGAGGAAAGCGGAAUUCCACGUGUAGCGGUGAAAUGCGUAGAGAUGU